GACGAACGCUGGCGGCGUGCUUAACACAUGCAAGUCGAACGGAAAGGCCCUGCUUUUGUGGGGUGCUCGAGUGGCGAACGGGUGAGUAACACGUGAGUAACCUGCCCUUGACUUUGGGAUAACUUCAGGAAACUGGGGCUAAUACCGGAUAGGAGCUCCUGCUGCAUGGUGGGGGUUGGAAAGUUUCGGCGGUUGGGGAUGGACUCGCGGCUUAUCAGCUUGUUGGUGGGGUAGUGGCUUACCAAGGCUUUGACGGGUAGCCGGCCUGAGAGGGUGACCGGCCACAUUGGGACUGGGAUACGGCCCAGACUCCUACGGGAGGGAGCAGUGGGGAAUAUUGCACAAUGGGCGGAAGCCUGAUGCAGCAACGCCGCGGGCGGGAUGACGGCCUUCGGGUUGGAAACCGCUUUCGCCUGGGACGAAGCGGGAGUGACGGGAAUGGGUAAAGAAGCAACCGCUAACUACGGG
rnacentral:rRNA from 1 species